GAUCAUGGCUCAGGAUGAACGCUAGCUACAGGCUUAACACAUGCAAGUCGAGGGGCAGCAUGAACUUAGCUUGCUAAGUUUGAUGGCGACCGGCGCACGGUGAGUAACACGUAUCCAACCUGCCGAUGACUCGGGGAUAGCCUUCCGAAAGAAAGAUUAAUACCCGAUGGCAUAAUUCUUCCGCAUGGUAGAACUAUUAAAGAAUUUCGGUCAUCGAUGGGGAUGCGUUCCAUUAGGG
rnacentral:rRNA from 1 species